rfam:Schistosoma haematobium scaffold908_32, whole genome shotgun sequence.
AUUCGGCUGACGAGUCACAAAUGGGACGAAACGUGCGGCCCGGAU